GUGAAUCAUCGAAUUUUUGAACGCAAAUUGCACUCUCUGGCAUUCCGGAGAGUAUGCCUGUUUGAGGGUCAGUUUAAAUAAAAAUCGUGGUGAUGCUGUUUUGUGACCCAUCGGAAUUGGGUUAACUUUGACCUUUUAAAAAGUUUAAGUGACAUAAAAUUGAUACCUGGUGCAUCUAAGACGUACAUAAGAAUAUUAUUUAUCCCAACCGAGUUGCCAAAUUUUUAGUAUGUUGGACCAAUGUG
rnacentral:misc_RNA from 1 species